rnacentral:lncRNA from 1 species
AGAUCAUGCAAGGUACCAUGAAAAGUCACUACUGCAUUUCAUUCGAUAGAUCUGUGGCAUAAAGGCGAUCGAGUGCAACGGCACACAAACCACUGACAGAGUACAAGGUAUGGCCUCAAGCCAACGGACAUUAUUACAGAGAUGAUUACUUAGCAGUCUGCAGGUUCACACUGACCCCUAGUCUAACGCAGAACAAGAUCACCCUGAUCGCAUAGUAGCAGCAGUAGUAGACACGCCUCUUACGCUUCGGCGUACCUGUAAUCACAGUUACAAGGGUAACUGAUAAGACAGUCGCGUUGACAAAAGAAACUACCAAUGACCGAGAGAAUACACAGCGACCACUCACCCCAGUUCCGAGAGCCUGAGGUGUGCCUCCUUGUAGUCCUCGAAGAAAGCCUUCUCAUCCUACAAGAAUUAAGGGUAAAAUAAUAAUCAGCAUCCUGGCGCUGCUUAUCUCUACAAGCAAUUUAGUGAACAGUGAUGGGAGACAUACCGCAGCAUAUUUCUCCACAAGAGGGCGAAAGACAGGGUCAGUCAGCAGGGUUUUGUCACUUGGAAGCUGAAGAAGCCCCUCUUUGUCACCACUCAGAAGCUCCCUGUGAUAACAUAAAUACAGAUUCACUAUGUAAUCACCAACAGAUAUCGUGCGCCAAGUUGGGGAAAU